UGUGUGUGUGUGUUUCAGAGCUGCAGCAGGAUGAGGUGAUUAAAGUGUGUGUGUGUGUGUGUGUGUUUCAGAGCUGCAGCAGUAUGAGUCCACUAAGGCGUAUAUGCCAAAGGCUCCAGAUGAGUUGGGGCUGCAGCAGGCGGAGGUGGUGAUCGUGGAGCAGCAGGUGGAAGGGUGGUGCCAUGGGGAGCGCAUGCGUGACGGAGCGCGAGGCUGGUUCCCCUCGGCCUGCGCCAGCGAGAUCACCAACCGCACCGCCAUGGACUGCAACAUGCGGCGCAUGGAACGUAUGCGCAAGGAGACCAACGUCUGACACACACACACCACCCACCACGGAGCGCAUGCGCAAGGAGACCAACGUCUGACACACACACACACCACGGAGCGCAUGUGCAAGGAGACCAACGUCUGACACACACACCACCCACUCCACCAUGGAGGGCAACGAGAGAUGCAUGGAGCACCUCUGCAGAGACCAACAUCUGACUCGCAUACACACACACACACAUCACCCAUACUGCUAGAGUAGGCCUAGAACAUGAGUGCCUAUGUAUGACCAACAUCUGACACACACACUCUUGAGACAACACCCUUCACACGGUCAAAAUGCGAGCCAAGGAAUACACUUCUAGACAAUUCACACCUACAUAUACAGGACCUGAAGGACACACACACACUCCUGAGGAGUCCCCACUGGAUGUAGAGCUUCUUGGUGCAGUCUCACAGAUGAACACACACACACACUCCUGAGGAGUCCCCACUGGAUGUAGAGCUUCUUGGUGCAGUCUCACAGAUGAACACACACAAGCGGGACUUUAGAUGACUUCCAACCCUGGUGCCAGGGCCUCAUUCAGGACUGCAGAAACACUAUUGACUGUGGUGGCCAUCCUAAAUGUGUGUUAAGACUGUUAUUGUUGGAAUGCAUGCAUGUCAUUGUGAAACGUUGUCACACACACACCUGAUGACAAGACAAGCAGCCUAGAAGCUCGACUGAAAUGAAAGAGUCGACACAUCUGGUAAACUUCGUCUUUGACUUUUAUUUGAGCUUGCCUUUUUGUCAAAAUUCAUGUUUGAAUACAUAAAAAGUUAUUUAAAAAUGUCAAA